CUCGUUCCCGUCGUCGGUGUCGGCAUCAGUUUUUCUGGCGGCGACGCGGCACUUCACGAUGGACCUCGCGAUGACAUCUUGAUUGGGAGAAGGAGGGUGUUUUUGUCUCGUGCGACGAUGAUGGUCGCGGUCGCCGACGAGGAUGAGAUGACGAGACCUCGACGGCGACGUAGGGCGGCGAUUCGAUGGCUGGCUCUGGUUGCAGAGGUGAUAGGUUGUGGCCCGCGGCGGCUAGUCAGGUGUGUGAGUGACGGAGUUCGAGAGAGGGAGACCUAGAAUCUCUGAGGUUUGGAGUUUGAGUGGGAUGCAAAUAAUGGGAAUGAAGGGGAACAAUCUGAACCCCUAGGGUUUCUAGGUAAAACAAUUUGGGCUGUGUCUAAGAAUUAGAAAUACAAUUUAAAAAAUACUAAUUCC
rnacentral:lncRNA from 1 species